UAAUGUAUGGGGAUCUGCCCGAUAGAGGGGGAUAACUACUGGAAACGGUGGCUAGUACCGCAUAAUGUCUACGGACCAAAGCAGGGGCUCUUCGGACCUUGCACUAUCGGAUGAACCCAUAUGGGAUUAGCUAGUAGGUGGGGUAAAGGCUCACCUAGGCGACGAUCUCUAGCUGGUCUGAGAGGAUGAUCAGCCACACUGGGACUGAGACACGGCCCAG
rnacentral:rRNA from 1 species